rnacentral:rRNA from 1 species
CGCGGUAAUUCCAGCUCCAAUAGCGUAUAUUAAAGUUGUUGCAGUUAAAAAGCUCGUAGUUGAACCUUGGGUCUGGCUGGCCGGUCCGCCUCACCGCGUGCACUGGUCCGGCUGGAUCUUUCCUUCUGGGGAGCCCCAUGGCCUUCACUGGCCGUGGGGGGAACCAGGACUUUUACUGUGAAAAAAUUAGAGUGUUCAAAGCAGGCCUUUGCUCGGAUACAUUAGCAUGGAAUAAUAGAAUAGGACGUGCGGUUCUAUUUUGUUGGUUUUCUAGGACCGCUGUAAUGAUUAAUAGGGAUAGUCGGGGGCGUCCGUAUUCAAUUGUCAGAGGUGAAAUUCUUGGAUUUAUUGAAGACGAACUACUGCGAAAGCAUUCGCCAAGGAUGUU